rnacentral:rRNA from 1 species
GGUUAAGCGACUAAGCGUACACGGUGGAUGCCCUGGCAGUCAGAGGCGAUGAAGGACGUGCUAAUCUGCGAUAAGCGUCGGUAAGGUGAUAUGAACCGUUAUAACCGGCGAUUUCCGAAUGGGGAAACCCAGUGUGAUUCGUCACACUAUCAUUAACUGAAUCCAUAGGUUAAUGAGGCGAACCGGGGGAACUGAAACAUCUAAGUACCCCGAGGAAAAGAAAUCAACCGAGAUUCCCCCAGUAGCGGCGAGCGAACGGGGAGCAGCCCAGAGCCUGAAUCAGUGUGUGUGUUAGUGGAAGCGUCUGGAAAGGCGCGCGAUACAGGGUGACAGCCCCGUACACAAAAAUGCACAUGCUGUGAGCUCGAUGAGUAGGGCGGGACACGUGGUAUCCUGUCUGAAUAUGGGGGACCAUCCUCCAAGGCUAAAUACUCCUGACUGACCGAUAGUGAACCAGUACCGUGAGGGAAAGGCGAAAAGAACCCCGGCGAGGGGAGUGAAAAAGAACCUGAAACCGUGUACGUACAAGCAGUGGGAGCACAGAGCAAUCUGUGUGACUGCGUACCUUUUGUAUAAUGGGUCAGCGACUUAUAUUCUGUAGCAAGGUUAACCGAAUAGGGGAGCCGAAGGGAAACCGAGUCUUAACUGGGCGUUAAGUUGCAGGGUAUAGACCCGAAACCCGGUGAUCUAGCCAUGGGCAGGUUGAAGGUUGGGUAACACUAACUGGAGGACCGAACCGACUAAUGUUGAAAAAUUAGCGGAUGACUUGUGGCUGGGGGUGAAAGGCCAAUCAAACCGGGAGAUAGCUGGUUCUCCCCGAAAGCUAUUUAGGUAGCGCCUCGUGAAUUCAUCUCCGGGGGUAGAGCACUGUUUCGGCAAGGGGGUCAUCCCGACUUACCAACCCGAUGCAAACUGCGAAUACCGGAGAAUGUUAUCACGGGAGACACACGGCGGGUGCUAACGUCCGUCGUGAAGAGGGAAACAACCCAGACCGCCAGCUAAGGUCCCAAAGUCAUGGUUAAGUGGGAAACGAUGUGGGAAGGCCCAGACAGCCAGGAUGUUGGCUUAGAAGCAGCCAUCAUUUAAAGAAAGCGUAAUAGCUCACUGGUCGAGUCGGCCUGCGCGGAAGAUGUAACGGGGCUAAACCAUGCACCGAAGCUGCGGCAGCGACGCUGAUGCGUUGUUGGGUAGGGGAGCGUUCUGUAAGCCUGCGAAGGUGUGCUGUGAGGCAUGCUGGAGGUAUCAGAAGUGCGAAUGCUGACAUAAGUAACGAUAAAGCGGGUGAAAAGCCCGCUCGCCGGAAGACCAAGGGUUCCUGUCCAACGUUAAUCGGGGCAGGGUGAGUCGACCCCUAAGGCGAGGCCGAAAGGCGUAGUCGAUGGGAAACAGGUUAAUAUUCCUGUACUUGGUGUUACUGCGAAGGGGGACGGAGAAGGCUAUGUUGGCCGGGCGACGGUUGUCCCGGUUUAAGCGUGUAGGCUGGUUUUCCAGGCAAAUCCGGAAAAUCAAGGCUGAGGCGUGAUGACGAGGCACUACGGUGCUGAAGCAACAAAUGCCCUGCUUCCAGGAAAAGCCUCUAAGCAUCAGGUAACAUCAAAUCGUACCCCAAACCGACACAGGUGGUCAGGUAGAGAAUACCAAGGCGCUUGAGAGAACUCGGGUGAAGGAACUAGGCAAAAUGGUGCCGUAACUUCGGGAGAAGGCACGCUGAUAUGUAGGUGAAGUCCCUCGCGGAUGGAGCUGAAAUCAGUCGAAGAUACCAGCUGGCUGCAACUGUUUAUUAAAAACACAGCACUGUGCAAACACGAAAGUGGACGUAUACGGUGUGACGCCUGCCCGGUGCCGGAAGGUUAAUUGAUGGGGUCAGCGCAAGCGAAGCUCUUGAUCGAAGCCCCGGUAAACGGCGGCCGUAACUAUAACGGUCCUAAGGUAGCGAAAUUCCUUGUCGGGUAAGUUCCGACCUGCACGAAUGGCGUAAUGAUGGCCAGGCUGUCUCCACCCGAGACUCAGUGAAAUUGAACUCGCUGUGAAGAUGCAGUGUACCCGCGGCAAGACGGAAAGACCCCGUGAACCUUUACUAUAGCUUGACACUGAACAUUGAGCCUUGAUGUGUAGGAUAGGUGGGAGGCUUUGAAGUGUGGACGCCAGUCUGCAUGGAGCCGGCCUUGAAAUACCACCCUUUAAUGUUUGAUGUUCUAACGUUGACCCGUAAUCCGGGUUGCGGACAGUGUCUGGUGGGUAGUUUGACUGGGGCGGUCUCCUCCUAAAGAGUAACGGAGGAGCACGAAGGUUGGCUAAUCCUGGUCGGACAUCAGGAGGUUAGUGCAAUGGCAUAAGCCAGCUUGACUGCGAGCGUGACGGCGCGAGCAGGUGCGAAAGCAGGUCAUAGUGAUCCGGUGGUUCUGAAUGGAAGGGCCAUCGCUCAACGGAUAAAAGGUACUCCGGGGAUAACAGGCUGAUACCGCCCAAGAGUUCAUAUCGACGGCGGUGUUUGGCACCUCGAUGUCGGCUCAUCACAUCCUGGGGCUGAAGUAGGUCCCAAGGGUAUGGCUGUUCGCCAUUUAAAGUGGUACGCGAGCUGGGUUUAGAACGUCGUGAGACAGUUCGGUCCCUAUCUGCCGUGGGCGCUGGAGAACUGAGGGGGCUGCUCCUAGUACGAGAGGACCGGAGUGGACGCAUCACUGGUGUUCGGGUUGUCAUGCCAAUGGCACUGCCCGGUAGCUAAAUGCGGAAGAGAUAAGUGCUGAAAGCAUCUAAGCACGAAACUUGCCCCGAGAUGAGUUCUCCCUGACUCCUUGAGAGUCCUGAAGGAACGUUGAAGACGACGACGUUGAUAGGCCGGGUGUGUAAGCGCAGCGAUGCGUUGAGCUAACCGGUACUAAUGAACCGUGAGGCUUAACCUU